rnacentral:rRNA from 1 species
GACGAACGCUGGCGGCGUGCUUAACACAUGCAAGUCGAACGGAAAGGCCCUGCUUUUGUGGGGUGCUCGAGUGGCGAACGGGUGAGUAACACGUGAGUAACCUGCCCUUGACUUUUGGAUAACUUCAGGAAACUGGGGCUAAUACCGGAUAGGAGCUCCUGCUGCAUGGUGGGGGUUGGAAAGUUUCGGCGGUUGGGGAUGGACUCGCGGCUUAUCAGCUUGUUGGUGGGGGAGUGGCUUACCAAGGCUUUGACGGGUAGCCGGCCUGAGAGGGUGACCGGCCACAUUGGCCUUGAGAUACGGCCAAGACUCAUACGGGAGGCAGGAGUGGGGAAUAUGGCAAAAUGGGCGGAGGCUGGAUGCAGCAACGCCGCGUGCGGGAGGACGGCCUUCGGGUUGUAAACCGAUUUCGCCUGUGCCGAAGCGUGAGUGCCGGAAAUGGGGAAAGAAGCACCGCCGACCUACGG